rnacentral:rRNA from 1 species
UUUUAUGGAGAGUUUGAUCCUGGCUCAGGAUGAACGCUGGCGGCGUGCCUAAUACAUGCAAGUCGAGCGAACAGACGAGGAGCUUGCUCCUCUGACGUUAGCGGCGGACGGGUGAGUAACACGUGGAUAACCUACCUAUAAGACUGGGAUAACUUCGGGAAACCGGAGCUAAUACCAG